UACGGGGGGGGCAAGCGUUGUUCGGAAUUACUGGGCGUAAAGGGCUCGUAGGCGGCCAACUAAGUCAGACGUGAAAUCCCUCGGCUUAACCGGGGAACUGCAUCUGAUACUGGAUGGCUUGAGUUCGGGAGAGGGAUGCGGAAUUCCAGGUGUAGCGGUGAAAUGCGUAGAUAUCUGGAGGAACACCGGUGGCGAAGGCGGCAUCCUGGACCGGCACUGACGCGUGAGGAGCGAAAGCCAGGGGAGCAAACGGGG
rnacentral:rRNA from 1 species